UACGUAGGGUGCAAGCGUUGUCCGGAAUUAUUGGGCGUAAAGAGCUCGUAGGUGGCCUGUCGCGUCGGCUGUGAAAACUCGGGGCUCAACUCCGAGCUUGCAGUCGAUACGGGCAGGCUAGAGUUCGGCAGGGGAGACUGGAAUUCCUGGUGUAGCGGUGAAAUGCGCAGAUAUCAGGAGGAACACCGGUGGCGAAGGCGGAUCUCUGGGCCAUAACUGACGCUGAGGAGCGAAAGCAUGGGGAGCGAACAGG
rnacentral:rRNA from 1 species